rnacentral:miRNA from 1 species
GAGGGAAGUUGGGAGGAAGAUGGGAGAGAUGAGUAACAAAAGUGAAAACUAAAACUUAAAACUAAAAUCUGCUUGAAAUUGUUUUCACUUUUGUUACUUCUCCCUCCCGCCCUCCCUUCUCAUUAUCUCU